GUUUACAUUCCUAUAGAUCUUAUUAUAUGGCUUUUGUCUGUGGGUAAAAAAGUAUAAUAACAAGAACAGCAUUGUUUUUUAAAGUUUUCAGAUGCUGUUCGUGGCUCCCCCCGCACUGCUGCAUCAUUCAUUCACAGGGUGUUGUCAUUGCACUGUUAUAGUCUAUGGUUUACUUCCUCCAGCUCUAUAACCAAAGGUACCUCCAAUAUGGAACUGGAGGAACAGUCUGCAGAAGUCUGUAAAUAUCACCAAUGAUGCAAAAAAAUGCUCUUGGUGUUUAUUUGGGGACACCGUAGACAGGUGGCUUAUACACUCUGCCAUUAGGAGGGUGGACACUAUGCAAUUAGCAGAUGGGAAUUGCAUGCAUCCUUUUUGGCUUCUGGACAUAGAGAAGAGUUCAGGUUCAGCUCACAGUCCUACGAAGAAAAAUAUCUUGGCAUUUUUUUUAGAUUGAUGAGUUCUCCUAGCUGAAAGGUAUUUCUACCUGGUCCUAGAGCCCAAACCUAGAUAUUAACUGUCAGGUACUCAGAUCUAGUGAGACAUGCUGGCAAAUCUACCUUUUUUUAACUGUCUGUACUGGUGCUAUACAAGCCAUGGACUCGCCAAUCUGCUGUGUUCCCCCUUUUUCGCUUUUUUUUAAUUGGUUCUUAAAUUACAUCUUGAAGUGAUUGUAAACUCUCCCAGAUAACCUUUACCCAUUUAAAUUGGUAAUAAGCACUGUACAAAUUGCUCUGUAUGAAUCAAUUCUAGCCUGCUCGGUUUGCUUGUAAUCUGCCUUUUUCAUUUUUUUGACAUCACCAGCGCAUGCGCAUAUUUAGACCGAUUCAUGGCAUGCUUAUUAUUUAGCUGUCAAUCCAUUCAUUUAUAUGCAUCUCCUCUCUGCGGCACUGCUUCAUGAUCCCUCAAGAUUACAGUGCGAUUCACAAGUUCCUGAAACACCCCAUGUGACUUGCAAUGUCACAGGAGGUAUAAACAUCACUUUGCAUGACACACAGGAUCAUGCAAUUAGCAGACCUCCAGCUGUUGCAGAACUAAAAUUCCCAUGAGACAUAGCAAGACUCUAACAGCCACAAGCAGAGACUUAGAGGCAGAGGCAUGAUGGGACGCUAAUUGCAUAUCCCUGAUCUAGAAGAUCCGCUUCAUCAUAUGGAUUGUAUCAAAAACAUAUUAAAUGAUCAAUAAAUGUGUUGCAAAGCUUGCUCUCCUCUCUAUGCUUCAACAUGUGGGAUAUUAUUGCCUAUACUUAUCGGGAAUGAAAACAAGGCUUGACUACAACAUUACUGAGCAUGUGUGAGGUUUACAGCAGAGACAAACAG